GGUAUAUUCCAUGCAUGAGAUGCUCCCUCAAUGGCAUCAACCAAGUAUUCCGAUAGAAUAGAGAUCCAGGCUGUCAUAAUUCCAAGCCAAAUCACUGAUUCCCAUUUGGAAAUCUCUGGAGUUUCAUCAUCAUUGUCAUAUGUACUCUCACCAUUCUGACUCCCUUCCUCUUCAAUAGGAAUAUAUAAAUCCUUUUGACUCCUUAACUGGAAAAAAA
rnacentral:misc_RNA from 1 species